UCCGAGUUGACCCCGGCAGUCUCCUAUGAGUCCCCGGCAUGACCCGCUGGCAACAUAGGACGAGGGUUGCGCUCGUUGCGGGACUUAACCCAACAUCUCACGACACGAGCUGACGACAGCCAUGCACCACCUGUGCAGGACCCUUACGGACCCGACAUCUCUGCCGGAUUUCCCUGCAUGUCAAGCCCAGGUAAGGUUCUUCGCGUUGCGUCGAAUUAAACCACAUGCUCCGCUGCUUGUGCGGGCCCCCGUCAAUUCUUUUGAGUUUUAGCCUUGCGGCCGUACUUCCCAGGCGGGGCACUUAAUGCGUUAGCUACGGCACGGAGCCCGUCGAUCGAGCCCCACACCUAGUGCCCAACGUUUACGGCGUGGACUAC
rnacentral:misc_RNA from 1 species